GAGGCGCGGUGAGAGCAGCGGUACUCAGACAGGAAAGCCUCGGGAUCCUUCGGGUUCUUUCGUUUUCCCUCCAGGGUAAAGUUAUGUUCAGUCUUCCAUCAACACGUUUAUUUUUCCGCCCGACUCGGCGCGCGUGCGCAGUGCCUCCCAGCCCAGGCUGUUCCUGAAAUGUAAGCGUGUUGAGACACAGGGAGGGAAGCUGAACGUCCAUCCUACAGGUCAGUCAACACUUUGACUCAGCAGUUCACCUUCGAGCAUUACCCUAGUGGACAUCCAUCUGUGCCUCGAGGCUGCUUCAAGGAUGCUCUGGACUAUGUAUUGUUUGUUAUACUACAGUGAGGCUUGGCCCCAUAACGUGCUCUACAAGAGUUUAAGAAAUCACCCGUGUGCCAGGCUCAGAUAAGCACUAGGGACACCAGGAAUGUUAACUACACAGGGAUGUCUGUUCAGUGAGAGAGAUGUAUGAUGUGUCUUCUGCCAAGAAGGCUGGAAGCAGAUGUGGGUAAUGGCCUGUGACCGGAGACUGAUAGGCUGAGAUCUCACCAGUUCCUCCCUGGACUCUUAUCGGUGAGCAUGUUUUUCUCAGUCUAUAGAAACUAUCUUUCUGGAAGAUGUCACAUGUACUUUACAAAGAGUUCCAGUGCAGUCAUGUCUUAAGCUGUGCUGUGCACAGGCGAUUGGGUUAAUCAUCACCAGGUAAGUUUUCACCAAAUAAACUACUUGGUUUGAACCAACACUGGCUGCUUAAUUGUGUUGAAUUGAACAACCUUGUUUCCUACAGAUUCACCACUCUGCUGACGUUAGUGAUCACAGAGACACCCUCCCACCCCCAAACUUGUAUUGAGACAAAAGACCGAACCAAACAGCUCUGCUUUUCACUUCUUUUUUUUUUUACAAUUUUUUUAUUAUUAUUUAUUUAUUAUAUGUAAGUACACUGUAGCUGUCUUCAGACACUCCAGAAGAGGGCAUUAGAUUCUACUACGGAUGGCUGUGAGCCACCAUGUGGUCGCUGGGACCUGAACUCGGGACUUAGGAAGAACAGUCGGCGCUCUUGACCACUGAGCCAUCUCGCCAGACCACUGAGCCAUCUCACCAGCCUGCUUUUCACUUCUUAUGCAUAAGACGCCAUUCACAAGCAAACAGAAGAGCUAUGCACUGUGCAGUCUAUUUGCUGUGUGACCUUGUACUAGGGUUCUAUAGGAUAGCAACUUAUAGGAUGAAUAUAUAUAGUUAUAAUAGACUAUUACAUAUAAUAUAAAUAUUUCUGUAUAUAAGUAAUU
ensembl:processed_transcript 4833417C18Rik RIKEN cDNA 4833417C18 gene